UCUCUCUCUCUCUCUCUCUCUGUACAUGGCUGGGUUAUUUUUACACUUAUUGUACAGAUCUCCUCUUCUUUCUUCAAUGUGUUUGUGUUGUUUGUACAUGGCAGAUUUUAUAUGGUCCAACUCUGUCUUCUUAAUUUGGGUUUUUCUCAAAUACAAUGUAAUGUAAUUUCUUGACGUAGAAUUCUUGGUAUUGAGCUAGGACUUCAUGGGGAACUUUGGGUUGGAUUUCAUGGGAUGAAGAAGGGGAAGGAAAGACGAAGGUGUUGAGGAGCAGAAAGGAGAAGAGAUAGAUGCAGAUCAAGUACUUCAAGUUCUGGUUCAAACCCAUGCGAGGAAAUAGUUUGGGGUAGGGUGCAUUUGUGAUGUGAUUGUGAAAGCAAAUUUCACUGUGGGGUUUGAGUAAGAGAUAGGAGAGAUGUUGAUGUUCUAAUAUCGGUUAAUUUCUGUAGAAUCUAUGCAUGUGGUGCUUAAUGCCUAAACCAAAUUGUAAACUGAUCAGCCUUGUAUAAUUGAAGCAAACACUGAAUAUGAAAGCUAUCCAUUAUCCCUCCACCAUCACUCACUCCCUAACAUUUUAGGAAAAAUUCAAUUACCUGGGUCAUUUCAGUGCACAUUUCUUUUCUUUUUCUUUUGAUUGCAUCAUGAAUAAGAUCCAGUGGGUACAAUAGUGGACCCAAUUAUUUUAGGCUUUCUUUCCACCUCAACUAGCAUUUUAGACUAUACUGUAGUCUCAUAUGGAUCUCGAAGGUGACCCAUUUUAAUCCAUUAAAAGUAAUUAAACAAAGGUUGGUACACUUUAAACAUGAGACCCGUAUGUGAGAGAACACCAAAAAUAUGUCCAGGACUCAGUGGCCAGUAAUUGUGUCAUAUAAAGUCAUUAGAUGUUUUCUUCUAUUUUUUACCAUCUUCAUGUGAUUCGCCAAUUGAGCUCUCAUAUGUAAAUUCUGUUUUUGGCAGAUUUUAUAGAAGUGAUGAGUUAAAUGUAUAUUGAAUCAUCAUUUCCAAAUAACACCCCUCAUAUGAGAGAAAAUACCUUAUGAGAGGAUGUAUGUUCAAUUUUUAAACAUGGGUUUAAAUUUUCAUCUAAAUCAUGUUUGCAGCUAUUAUUGAAAGCAUUAAAACCUGUGUUUUUAGCUAAUUGAAGUGUACUCAGCACAUAAGAUAUUCACCUUCAUGCUAGUCAUCAUAUUGUGUAUCAGUUAGAUUUGUGAUGGUGUCAUGUACAAUCAAUGAGAAAAAUCCCCCACUUCUCCCCCUUUUGUUUCAUGUGUGAAAUGAUUUAUGCGUUUCUAUUUAGUAACUUUGUUCUAUGAACUCAGUUGUAAUAGCAUGAUGGACAAAGAUGAAGAUGAAAGGCCACACAGGCCUUCUACAUCAAUUCCAUCAACUUAUGGAUAUUAUGAUCCAGAAAAUUUGUACUACCCGCCAUUUAUGAUGCAUCCAAAUGCAUAUCCAAAUUCAUAUACGUACGCAUGGGAUAGCUAGCCCCAUCAAUGCCACCUUUUGGAACAACGAUCCUCUACCCUUCAUUGAGUAAUGCGGAGGAGUCGAGCUGAAUUCAACAUACAAUCAGGCCCCCAUCAAUGUCACCUUUUGGAACAACGAUCAUCUACCCUCCAUCGAGUAAUGCGGAGGAAGGUUCUGCAUGUGGAGAAGGCUGGGACUAAGAGAAAGAAGAAGGUUGCUAACAAAAAUGAAGGUUCUGCCUGUAAAGAAGGUUGCGACCAAGAGAAAGAAGAAACAGGAAAUAAAUUUUUUUUUCAUAUUAAUUCUAUAUUUAUUCGACUACAUGCAUAUUCAUUUCUAAUGGAUGUGUAUUUUUGUAACACCUGAACCCAGCCAAGCUCAAUUUUUAAAUAUUUUUGGGCUUAUGCGUAAGAAAAACCCAAUUGAGUGUUCGAGUAUUUUUUUUUUAUA